rnacentral:rRNA from 1 species
GGGAAACUGCCUGAUGGAGGGGGAUAACUACUGGAAACGGUAGCUAAUACCGCAUAACCUCGCAAGAGCAAAGAGGGGGACCUUUGGGCCUCUCGCCAUCAGAUGUGCCCAGAUGGGAUUAGCUAGUAGGUGAGGUAAUGGCUCACCUAGGCGACGAUCCCUAGCUGGUCUGAGAGGAUGACCAGCCACACUGGAACUGAGACACGGUCCAGACUCCUACGGGAGGCAGCAGUGGGGAAUAUUGCACAAUGGGCGCAAGCCUGAUGCAGCCAUGCCGCGUGUGUGAAGAAGGCCUUCGGGUUGUAAAGCACUUUCAGCGAGGAGGAAGGCGGUAAGGUUAAUAACCUUAUCGAUUGACGUUACUCGCAGAAGAAGCACCGGCUAACUCCGUGCCAGCAGCCGCGGUAAUACGGAGGGUGCAAGCGUUAAUCGGAAUGACUGGGCGUAAAGCGCACGCAGGCGGUCUGUUAAGUUGGAUGUGAAAUCCCCGGGCUUAACCUGGGAACUGCAUUCAAAACUGACAGGCUAGAGUCUUGUAGAGGGGGGUAGAAUUCCAGGU